GCUGAAGUCUUGCCGACGGCCGAGUGAAUACGAAGGGUGCAAGCGUGUGUCGUGAGUCAUGGGCGUAAAGCGUGCGUAGGUGGUGAGUUAAGUCUGAUGUGAAAUCCCCGGGCUCAACCUGGGAAUGGCAUUGGAUACUGGCUCGCUGGAGUGCGGUAGAGGGUGGUGGAAUUCCCGGUGUAGCAGUGAAAUGCGUAGAGAUCGGGAGGAACAUCUGUGGCGAAGGCGGCCACCUGGACCAGCACUGACACUGAGGCACGAAAGCGUGGGGAGCAAACAGGAUUCGAUACCCUAGUAGUC
rnacentral:rRNA from 1 species